AACGUAGGAGGCGAGCGUUAUCCGGAUUUACUGGGUGUAAAGCGCGUGCAGGCGGUUGGCUAAGUUGGGUGUGAAGCUCCUGGCUCAACUGGGAGAGGUCGCUCAAGACUGGCCGACUGGAGAGCAGUAGGGAAGGUGGAAUUCCGGGUGUAGUGGUGAAAUGCGUAGAUAUCCGGAGGAACACCAGUGGCGAAGGCGGCCUUCUGGACUGCUUCUGACGCUCAGACGCGAAAGCUAGGGGAGCAAACGGGG
rnacentral:rRNA from 1 species